UCAGGGUUUUCACUCUCCGGUUCUCCUCCGCCACCGCUAAUGCCGUCUCAGAAUCACAACUAUGCGGUUGACCCCAAAUCACUUCCAGAUGGUGUAGAGGUAAUUCAUGUGAAUCUCAAGGAUGGAACCUGUGCUGGCCUUGCUUAUCCUGCACGAAACAUAAUGUCUGUUCAGUACCACCCUGAAGCAUCCCCACGACCUCAUGAUUCAGAUUAUGGAAUUUCUUGAGAGGAUUCGGGGUAAUGACUCUGGUUCUGGUUCCCCGAUGUAUCUUGCUCAACCCUCAUUGUUUGAUAAGAUAAACGAGUUGCGUGAGGACAUGUGAAUUCCUGACUAUUGUUGUGCCAGUGCUGGGGAACUAAGGUCUUUUAAUGCUCGGUUUGGUCCGGUGGGGACUGUAGCCCCGUUACACCAUGAUCUGCACCAUAAUGUAUUUGCACAGGUUGAUCUAGACAACAUGGAUGACAAAGAAUUCCCGGAGGUGCACUUGGAAUAUCUUGACUGCAUAUUCGAGGAAGGUGACAUGCUGUAUAUCCCACCAAAACAUUAUGUUUGGUCUAUGACAACAAGCAUGUCAGUUAGCUUUUGGUGGAGUGAUAAUGACAGUUCAGCUGUCUUGAUAGCUUGUGGUUUGACAGAGCAGUUUUCAGUUGCAGGCUUAUAUAUUCUCAUGUAUAUAUCCUGCUGUGUUAUAUUCACAAUUAGACUUGCAGAGGUCUGAAGCAUAAGAAACUGUUUUUAAUCAACAAUUUUGAAAUUAGUAUUUAACAUCUUUCUCGCUUCACAGCCUGUAGCCAUACAGUUGCAAAGCUACUUUUCCU